rnacentral:rRNA from 1 species
UAAAACGGGAGGCAGCAGUAGGGAAUCUUCCGCAAUGGACGAAAGUCUGACGGAGCAACGCCGCGUGAACGAUGAAGGCCUUCGGGUCGUAAAGUUCUGUUGUUAGGGAAGAACAAGUACCAGAGUAACUGCUGGUACCUUGACGGUACCUAACCAGAAAGCCACGGCUAACUACGUGCCAGCAGCCGCGGUAAUACGUAGGUGGCAAGCGUUGUCCGGAAUUAUUGGGCGUAAAGCGCGCGCAGGUGGUUUCUUAAGUCUGAUGUGAAAGCCCACGGCUCAACCGUGGAGGGUCAUUGGAAACUGGGGAACUUGAGUGCAGAAGAGGAAAGUGGAAUUCCAAGUGUAGCGGUGAAAUGCCUAGAGAUUUGGAGGAACACCAGUGGCGAAGGCGACUUUCUGGUCUGUAACUGACACUGAGGCGCGAAAGCCUGGGGAGCGAACAGGAUUAGAUACCCUGGGAAUCCACGCCGUAAACGAUGAGUGCUAAAUGUUAAAGGGUUUCCCCCCUUUAGUGCUGCAGCAAACGCAUUAAGCACUCCCCC